rnacentral:tRNA from 1 species
UCCCUGGUGGCCCAGCUGGUUAAGGCGUCCGACUGUUAGUGCUUUCGAGCAUCAGCACAUCGGGAGAUCGACAGUUCGAUCCUGUCUCGGGGAG